GCCAGAAGUGGUUCUUUAGCUAUUUUUGCAUCCAGGAAAAAAUCCCUCUGCACAAUUUUUUAAAAAUGUAUACAAUAGUUUAUUAAUUCAUCUUCAGUAAGCUUCGGAUCCAAACCCUGUCCUGAAAACAUGAGGCAGGAAUACACCCUGGAUGGGACACCAGUCCAUCACAGCGUGCACACACACACACUCAUUCUCACACACGGUGGCAAUUUAGAGUUGUCACUCCACCUACUGGCAUGUUUUUGGCAGGUGAGAAGAAACCGAAGGAAACCCAGACGUACACGUGGAGAACGUGUGAGACUUCACACAGACAGUAACUUGAGCUCCAUCAGCCGAGGAGCCUGGCUGUGAGAGAUGGCAACCCAGUGUGUGCAAUGAUAUUUGACUCUAUUGGAAAUGACCCAAAUGCAUCCUGAAACUUCUCCGACAGACUUGGUCAAAAUGUGCACCAUAAACAGACAGAGAACAUUCAGUGUGGUGGCCAGAGAGAUCCUGACCCAGUUCCAGGUUUGGCAGCGGGCCUGCUACAGUAGAAACAUUGAAUGGGGCCCAAUUACAGCAAAGAUCAUUUCUGCUUUACCGUAUUUGUCUGGGAGGGAGACGGAGGUGAUUGUGCGCUGUACUAAAAUGCUACAUAAUCGCAGGGAUUACCUCCGUAGGAGAGCAAAGGACGCAACUCUGGAGAGAAACAGUUUACCUAUGGGACAGAGAUAUCUUCUUCAGCUUCACAGUGGAGACGUUAUACAACAUGUCUAACUGUAAAGAAGAUGCUCUUUUUACUCGUGUUCAACUAUUUAUAAUCUGUUACUGUAUGUUGUAUUUAUUGUCAUUUAUUUACUUUGCUUUUUGUUUUGUUUUUUGUACAUUGAAGUGAAAUGUCUUCCCAUUUUUAAUUUAUAUUUGUC
ensembl:lncRNA